rnacentral:rRNA from 1 species
GUCAAGCUUGAGUGCAGGAGAGGCAAAUGGAAUUCCCAGUGUAGCAGUGAAAUGCGUAGAGAUUGGGAGGAACACCAGUGGCGAAGGCGAUUUGCUGGACUGCAACUGACGUUGAGAUGCGAAAGCUAGGGGAGCAAACGGGAUUAGAUACCCCGGUAGUCCUAGCCGUAAACGAUGGAUACUAGGUGUAGAGGGUAUCGACCCCUUCUGUGCCGCAGCGAACGCAAUAAGUAUCCCGCCUGGGGAGUACGGUCGCAAGACUGAAACUCAAAGGAAUUGACGGGGGCCCGCACAAGCAGUGGAGCAUGUGGUUUAAUUCGACGCAACCCGAAGAACCUUACCAGGUCUUGACAUUUAUGGAAACGAGCAGAGAUGUUUGUGUGCCCUUUCGGGGGAACCAUAAAACAGGUGGUGCAUGGUUGUCGUCAGCUCGUGUCGUGAGAUGUUGGGUUAAGUCCCGCAACGAGCGCAACCCUUGAUAAUAGUUGCCAGCAAGUAAGGUUGGGCACUCUAUUGUGACUGCCGUAGAUAAUACGGAGGAGGGUGGGGAUGACGUCAAAUCAUCAUGCCCUAUAUGACCUGGCUACACACGUGCUACAAUGGGGUGAACAACGGGAAGCAAGCCAGCGAUGGUAAGCGGACCCCUAAAAAC